AAUCCGGUUUAUGGGUUCCUUAGAUCGUACCCACAAUUACUUGGAUAACUGUGGUAAUUCUAGAGCUAAUACAUGCAAAUAGAGCUCCGACCGGAGACGGAAGGAGUGCUUUUAUUAGAUCAAAACCAAUCGGUGGCGAGUUCGCUCGUCAUCGUACAACUUGGUGACUCUGAAUAACUUUACGCUGAUCGCACGGUCUCGCACCGGCGACGCAUCUUUCAAAUGUCUGCCUUAUCAACUGUCGAUGGUAGGUUCUGCGCCUACCAUGGUUGUAACGGGUAACGGGGAAUCAGGGUUCGAUUCCGGAGAGGGAGCCUGAGAAACGGCUACCACAUCCAAGGAAGGCAGCAGGCGCGCAAAUUACCCACUCCCGGCACGGGGAGGUAGUGACGAAAAAUAACGAUACGGGACUCAUCCGAGGCCCCGUAAUCGGAAUGAGUACACUCUAAACCCUUUAACGAGGAUCAAUUGGAGGGCAAGUCUGGUGCCAGCAGCCGCGGUAAUUCCAGCUCCAAUAGCGUAUAUUAAAGUUGUUGCGGUUAAAAAGCUCGUAGUCGAAUUUGUGUCUCGUGCCGCCGGUUCAUCGUCCGCGGUGUUAACUGGCGAGUCGCGAGACGUCCUGCCGGUGGGCUUAGCUCGCAAGGGCGGCCCAACUCAAUCCUGCCGCGGUGCUCUUCAUUGAGUGUCGAGGUGGGCCGGCACGUUUA
rnacentral:rRNA from 1 species